UACGUAGGGUGCAAGCGUUGUCCGGAAUUAUUGGGCGUAAAGAGCUCGUAGGCGGUUUGUCGCGUCUGCUGUGAAAACGCGAGGCUCAACCUCGCGCCUGCAGUGGGUACGGGCAGGCUUGAGUGCGGCAGAGGAGACUGGAAUUCCUGGUGUAGCAGUGAAAUGCGUAGAUAUCAGGAGGAACACCGAUGGCGAAGGCAGGUCUCUGGGCUGACACUGACGCUCAUGCACGAAAGCGUGGGGAGCAAACAGG
rnacentral:rRNA from 1 species